GAUGAUGAUAAGCCUGGCAAUGGGCUAAGAUGUCUCUCAGUGGCUGUGCAUUUCUUGAGGUGGAGGGAAUUUACCAUCCAGCAAUCUGAGAGCUAAUAGAGGGUAAACCUUAGGAGGAACCGGUCACAGGAAAGAGCUCCUUCUGGAACUGUCAAGCACUCGCUGAAACACAGUGUACAACACGGGACUUCACGACCAGAGCUGCUUUUGGUAAGAGGUGUUGUAGCUGGCUUAAGAGAGCAGAUGGAAGCCUCUGCCUCGAGGGCAGGUGAGGGGGCAGAGUAGGGGAGCAGAUGAGAGUACCUGUCCUAGCUGUGCUGUGGCUUUGGAUGCUGCCGCGGCCUAUGCUUUU